UGUAUCUGAAGUCUGACGAGGAUGAGAACCUCCGGGGGCAAGAGGUUCGACCCGAGCGAAGCGAGAGAACGUUGCGUCAGCAACGGCCCGCAGGGCGAGCCAUCCUCUAUCACCGGCAG
rnacentral:sRNA from 33 species